GCUGAGUGUGGUGGUGCACACCUGUGACCCCAGCUACUCAGGAGGCUGAGGCAGGAAGAUCUCAAGUUCAAGGAUAACCAGUACAACUUAGUGAGAGCCUGUCUCAA
rnacentral:sRNA from 1 species